GCAGGAUUGGCCUAGUGGUAAGGCGUCGCACUCGUAAUGCGAAGAUCUCCAGUUCGAUCCUGGAAUUCUGCA
rnacentral:tRNA from 2 species